ACUGGGAGACAAACUAUGUAAAACGAAAACACCAGAAACCCAUGUGGAAAAAAUGCUUAUCUGGAUUGAAUUCAAUAAAAAAAAACGACAAUCCAGAGCUGUUGCGGACCAUUUCAAUAUUAAUGCAUGGGAACAAUUGCAUCGCAAAAGCAGAAGUUGCGGUUGCAAAAACAUUGUUCUUCAACUUACGCCACAUUAACCGCCG